UCCAACCAGAUAUACUCAAGACCGACACUCUCUAGCGUAAGCGGCAAAGGACUUGAUGUUUCGUUUCCAAGAUUUCAAGUUCGAAUUAUAAUUGAUUUACAUUUUUAACUAAAUUUAUUUCUAAAAAAAUAAACGAAACAAAUAGUAUACUAUAUAUCUUUCUUUUAAAUUUAUUCCUAAGAACUUUAUAUACCCUAAAUCAUAUUUAACGGUGUGGAUCGUUAAUUUGAACACCCUAAUAUCGAAAACAAGACUAUAGUACCGAAGCUCCGGUAUUAUAGAUAGUAUAAUAGCCUAAUUCUAUAUAUAUAAAGAGAGAGAGAGAGAGAGAGAGAGAGAGAGAAAGAGUUCGGCUAGGAUAGCACCAAGGGCUUGGUGCUAUCAAGUUUCUACUAUUAGAUUUAAUUUUUUGAUUAUUUUUAUCCGUUAGAUUUUACUAUUCAACCAACCACCCACUCAUCUCUAGGGGGCCCACAUCAUCUGAACCGCACAUUUCUCAUUCCAAUGGCUAAAAAACUAAUAGCAUUAAUAGCUUGAUGCUAUUGAUAGUAUUCCAGUCUAGUUCUCUAUAUAUAUGUAGUAGGUCUUGUGUGCUGUUAGGAGUAAGGAGGCAUCUGUGCUCCUAAGUUGUUUUUGAUGAUGGAGCUUCCGAAUCGACGAUCAGCUCUGUUGGAUUUGAUCUAGCGUAUUUGAACUAUUUAGAAAAUAAAUUUUGUGAUUUUUCGGUAUCAUUUACCUAUCGAUCAAAAGGGUUUAAAAUCUACAAUUUUUAAUGAUUGAUGUAUAGUAUUUGCAAAUUUAACUGUGUAUAAGUAUUCAAAUCAGAUAAAAUUUAAUAGAAAAUUCUUUAUACUAUUUACAGCAUGAUCAAUAUAUCUGAUCGAAAAUAUUAAUACUAUAUUAUUACUUUUUGUGAGAUUUUUAUUUUCAACUGUUGAUUUUGAACUCUUUUGAUUGCUAGGUAAAAGAUAUCGUAAAAUUGUAAAAUUUAUUUUCUAGAUAGUUCAAAUACGCUAAAUCAUAUCUAAUAGAGCUGAUCAUGAAUUCGAAAGUUUCAUUAUCGAAAACGGCUUAGGAGCACGAAAGACAUAUAUAUAUAUAUAUAUAUAGAAUUAGGCUGGAAUACUAUUAAUAGUAAAACACUCUUUUUGCUAUAUAUAGAAUUAGGUUGGAAUACUAUUAAUAGUAAAACACUCUUUUUGCUAUCAAGUUUUUAACCCUUGGAUGAAAAAUUGUAGGGUCAGGAUA
rnacentral:lncRNA from 1 species